rnacentral:lncRNA from 1 species
AUUGACAUGGGCAGCCCGGUACACUAAGCUCCGACUUUGCGUUGGGUCUGGGGAAGGGCCGGACCACAAGGGUCUUGUACGCAGCCUUUCAAUAACCUCAACAAUGACCAACAACACAAGUCAAUAUCUUUCAACCCAAGAAGCCAUGUACACAGUAUAUGUAUUACAUCAUAAACCAAAUGUAAUAGCAGACAAAAUGGGACAAGACCUUCAAAUCUAAACAGUUAUAACAAACAUGCCAACUGGCUCCAAGAAAAACUUGAAGUAUCAUCACUUGCUUAUGCAUUAUCAUCCGGUGUCUUCGGUUCCUCUCUUGGUUUCAAAGACGCCGAAGGCGAUGGAGCACCAUCUUGACCCAUUUCAGCUCUCAAAUCGUUGAUGCUUUGUUCAAGUUCAUCGAUUCGGUUUCCCAUCUCGUCAAGUGCAACCUUGUCAAGGACUAAACAUACUUUUUUCAAGCUUGAUCUCAUAAACAGAGGUAGAUGCCAUGUAUAACAUAAAGACAUAUUUGGAAUAGUUUGAUAUGAAAACCAUCCAAUAUGAGAACUCUUACCAGUAUGAAAGAGGACAGAAAGCAAGAGCGCCAGACAAUAGCUAAAAAGUUGAUGACAGUAAUGAAACCCCUUUUAAAAUUUUCUAAGAGACUAAAGAAGUUUAGAUUAUGUUGACGGAUUACCACAACCCCUACAAUCCUAAAAAGUUGAAAGACAGCAGAGCUGGAAAACCAUGAGCCACUCAAGAGCCUCAGAACCAAGAAGGCGGUUAACACCUUCUUGAAUUCAGAGUUCUACAAAGUGCUACAUAUAACUAAAUGCAUUUUAGAUGACAUUAAUGUAAGCAACAACUGGAUCAGAUAGGGAACAUCAAAUUUAAAAAGGAUAUUUUUCGAGAUGAUUGAUUCAGACAUUGUCUGAAAUCUGGUUUGCUGCAAUGAGAAAAAUAUCAGUUAGAUAACUCUAGUUGAUACAUAUGAAGAAUCCAAGGGGUUGCAGAGUGACCGUACUCACCAUUUGCUGAAGAAGAUUCUGGACCUGGAAGAGAAGGAAGGACAGAAGUAAGAGUUAGCUAGCAUAAAUGCAUGUUCUCAUUUCUGUCAAAUGAUGUGCUAGUUAAAGCUGUCAGAGACCAAAAAAAAGGGACAGCAACACCAAAUAUGUUAUAUGUCAAGUGCACGGAAAUUGAUCCAAAUGUCAUGGUAUUAGCAUCAUGAUAAAGCCAUAUUUAUGAAUAAAGUUAGCUCUUUAAAGGGCCAAGAUUGUAUGUUAGAAUUUUAAUUUGAUGAUGAAAAAGAAAGUAAUUUUUUAUUCCAAAUUCCCAAGUAAUCACGCUUGAUAACUCAGUGGUGAACAGAUUGAGAUGAUUAGAAACUUUAGAGAUCGUUAGCAAGAGGAGGAGAAUGAGCUUAAGC